CAAUAGCGUAUAUUAAAGCUGUUGCGGUUAAAAAGCUCGUAGUUGGAUUUCUGUCAAGGACAACUGGUCCGCCCUCCGGGUGAGCACAUAGUUUGGUCUUGGCAUCUUGCUGGAAACUGUUGCUGCGCUUGGUUGUGUGGUGCAGCUUUCAGCACUUUCACUUUGAGGAAAUUGGAGUGUUUCAAGCAGGCACAUGCCUUUGGACACGGUAGCAUGGAAUAAUUAGAUUGGGCUUUUGCUCCAACUUGUUGGUUCCUGGAGCUGAGGUGAGAAUCAAUGGGGAUUGUUGGGGGCAUCCGAAUUUAGCCGUCAGAGGUGAAAUUCUUGGAUCUGCUAAAGACGGACAACUGCGAAANCGNNNGCCCAGGAUGUUUUCAUNGA
rnacentral:rRNA from 1 species